rnacentral:sRNA from 1 species
ACGCGGGAAGGAGGUGAUCGGGUACAUGAGUGAAACCCGGACACGCGAGGUGGCUGCGGGCUAGCGGCCCGUCACCACACUCCAGUGCAGUGCCGGGCCGGCACGUGAGAGACGCGUGCAGCCGGCCCAAUCCACACAGUCACCCGACCCGCGGGCUCGCCGGUAGGUCCGGCCGGCUCCUCCGCCGCCAGGCGGGGGAUCCGAGCCCGCGGGUUGUCCGUG